rnacentral:lncRNA from 1 species
GAGCUCAAGGUACGUGGUCCUGCGGCGGCGGCGCUGGCUCUCCGCUCUGCCGCGCUCGCAUCCUGGGCUCUGCUCGCCGCUACCCGGCUUCUCCGGAGUAGUCGCGGGUCCCGCCGGACGGUGAGGGGGCAUCUGGGGCGGGGUGUCCCCGGGCUCAGCGUCCCUCCCCGGGCCGCGACACACAGGCGGCUGUCCCUCACCCUCCCGCGCGGGGCUGCCCUCCGCGUCGCUGUUCCGGCUGGAGGCCACCCGGUGCUCCCCUCCGCGGGUGACAACGGCAGCUGGGCUGCAGGACCCAAGGUCCUCCGUGCCCCGGAGCUGGCCGAGGAUACGGAGGUCGCCCCAUCUCUACUCGAGGUCGCCCGCUUUCCCGGCAAAGUUGUCCGCGGCCACUUUCCCUCCGGUCCCCGCCCGCC